AACGUAGGACGCAAGCGUUAUCCGGAGUUACUGGGCGUAAAGCGCGGGCAGGCGGCUCGAAACGUCUGAUGUGAAAUCUCCUCGCUCAACGGGGAGAGGCCAUUGGAAACGGUCGAGCUGGAGGGCAGUAGAGGCAGGCGGAAUUCCGGGUGGAGUGGUGAAAUGCGUAGAGAUCCGGAGGAACACCAGAGGCGAAGGCGGCCUGCUGGGCUGCACCUGACGCUGAGCCGCGAAAGCCAGGGGAGCGAACGGG
rnacentral:rRNA from 1 species